GGGGCUGAACUGGUAUCGACUCUGAUUGAUCGAGGUAGGAGAAGCGAGCCGAGGUUCCGGGUAACCUCGCUAAACCGCUCGGAAAACAACAACUGCUGACUCUAACGAGUACGCACUCGCUGCCUAACUAACAGCGACGCCGGCCUUGGGCUCUGCCUGCGGCCUGGGGAUCCGGCGUCAUGAAGCAGGCUCACCGCUCGGGGCGCGCUCGGCGCGCCG
rnacentral:tmRNA from 1 species